AGAGUUUGAUCCUGGCUCAGGAUGAACGCUGGCGGCGUGCUUAACACAUGCAAGUUGAACGGGAUCCAUCGGGCUUUGCUUGGUGGUGAGAGUGGCGAACGGGUGAGUAAUGCGUGACCGACCUGCCCCAUGCACCGGAAUAGCUCCUGGAAACGGGUGGUAAUGCCGGAUGCUCCAUCACACUGCAUGGUGUGUUGGGAAAGCCUUUGCGGCAUGGGAUGGGGUCGCGUCCUAUCAGCUUGAUGGCGGGGUAACGGCCCACCAUGGCUUCGACGGGUAGCCGGCCUGAGAGGGCGACCGGCCACAUUGGGACUGAGAUACGGCCCAGACUCCUACGGGAGGCAGCAGUGGGGAAUAUUGCACAAUGGGCGCAAGCCUGAUGCAGCGACGCCGCGUGAGGGAUGGAGGCCUUCGGGUUGUAAACCUCUUUUGUUAGGGAGCAAGGCAUUUUG
rnacentral:rRNA from 1 species